rnacentral:rRNA from 1 species
GACGAACGCUGGCGGCGUGCCUAAUACAUGCAAGUCGAGCGAAUGGAUUAAGAGCUUGCUCUUAUGAAGUUAGCGGCGGACGGGUGAGUAACACGUGGGUAACCUGCCCAUAAGACUAGGAUAACUCCGGGAAACCGGGGCUAAUACCGGAUAACAUUUUGAACCGCAUGGUUCGAAAUUGAAAGGCGGCUUCGGCUGUCACUUAUGGAUGGACCCGCGUCGCAUUAGCUAGUUGGUGAGGUAACGGCUCACCAAGGCAACGAUGCGUAGCCGACCUGAGAGGGUGAUCGGCCACACUGGGACUGAGACACGGCCCAGACUCCUACGGGAGGCAGCAGUAGGGAAUCUUCCGCAAUGGACGAAAGUCUGACGGAGCAACGCCGCGUGAGUGAUGAAGGCUUUCGGGUCGUAAAACUCUGUUGUUAGUGAAGAGCAAGUGCUAGUUGAAUAAGCUGGCACCUUGACGGUACCUAACCAGAAAGCCACGGCUAACUACGUGCCAGCCGCCGCUGUAA